CUAGAAGGGCACUGGAAGGGCACUAGAAGGACCUAACGGGCAGAAGGGCACUAUAUCAGGGUACUAGAAGGGCACCAGAUGGGCAGAAGGGCACUUGAAGGACCAGACGGGCAGAAGGGGACUAUCAGGGCACCAGACGGGCAGAAGGGCACUAUCAGGGUACUAAAAGUAAAAAGAAGCAAAAGUAGACCGAGUAAAGCGCUCCCAAACUAUGGGACUGACUAAGCCGUUCUCCCCUGAAGAGCUCAAUACCAGCAUCAACACCUUAAAAAACGGUAAAGCCAUCGGACUGGACAAACAUUUUGGACCUCUAAUGAGGAAAUGGAUUCUCCAGCUGAUGAAUAGAUGCAUGCUGACAAAAACCAUCCCAAAGAUCUGGAGGAAAACCAGGAUUAUUGCCCUUCUCAAACCAGGCAAAGAUCCAGCGCAUGCAAAGAGCUUCCGCCCAAUCUCUCUGCUAUGCCACCUCUACAAGCUGUUUGAACGCUUGAUUCUCAACAGGCUUGCCCCUGUUGCUGAACCAGCCAUCAUCCCUCAACAAGCCGGAUUCCGACCUGGCAAAUCUACAACAAGCCAACUCCUGAAGCUCACUCAACACAUUGAGGAUGGAUUCCAGAAAGGACUGGUAACAGGAGCUGUCUUUGUUGAUCUGUCUGCCGCAUAUGACACUGUGAACCAUCGCCUCCUCCUUAAAAAGAUCUUGGAGCUGACAAAAGACCUGGCACUCACAGACCUCACUGAAGCCCUCCUGAAAGACAGGCGCUUCUUUGUUGUCCUGAAUAACAAGCAGAGUCGCUGGCGACAACAACGAAAUGGCCUACCUCAAGGUAGCGUGCUGGCCCCACUCCUAUAUAGCAUCUACACCAACGACCAGCCAAUGGACCAGGACACCGAGCGUUUCAUCUAUGCCGACGAUCUCUGUGUAACAUCUCAAGAGAACUCGUUUGAAGCAGUAGAAGCAAACCUCACCACAGCCCUAGAUCAGCUACUCCUCUAUUACGAGCACAACCACCUACAUGCCAACCCUGCAAAGACCCAAGUCUGCUCCUUCCAUCUUAGGAACCAUGAAGCCAACCGACCACUUAACAUCAAAUGGUCUGGAACACCACUUGAGCACUGUACCAACCCUGUCUACCUUGGAGUAACCCUGGAUCGUACCCUCACCUUUAAGGAACACAUCAAAAACACAAAAUCCAAAGUCGGUUCCCGAAACAACAUCCUACGGAAACUGACCAACUCCAAAUGGGGAGCCACAGCACACACAUUAAAAUCUACUGCCUUGGCCCUGUGCUAUUCAUCUGCGGAAUAUGCAUGUCCUGUUUGGGAGAGGUCAACCCAUGCCAAGAAACUUGACUCAGCAUUGAACAACACCUGCCGUCUGAUCACUGGCUGCUUGAAACCCACCAACACAAGCAACCUCCUCCUCCUUGCUGGCAUUGCCCCCUCUGAUAUUAGACGCAAAGUUACCAGCCGAGUCGAGAAAACAAAAUCUGCAAUCGAUGAACGCCAUCUCCUCCAUGGAUGUCACCCUCCGGCCCAACGGCUAAAGUCAAGAAGAAGCUUUCUCAGCCAUGUCCAGCCCCUAACAAAGUCUCGGGAAGAAACCAGAAUCCAACUCUGGAUGGAAAAACUUGAGAAUGACCCACCUCCAACUGGCAUGGGAAUACCCCCCACUGAAAAACUACCCCCUGGUGCAGAAGCAUCAUGGACCCAAUGGAAACUAAACCGCCUCAGAACAAGAACAGGACGAUUCGAAGAUGCUCUGGUCAGAUGGGGCUACAAGACUGGCCCAACCACCUGUGAAUGUGGAGAAGCAGACCACACAAUGGAGCACUGCCUUGUCUGCACUCUACUACCCAACCCCUGCAGCCCAAAAGACCUUGCAGUUUUCAACAACAAUGCAAAGGACUGUGUAAUGAAAUGGGAAACUGUCAUAUAAACGCUUCAGUGAAAC
rnacentral:lncRNA from 1 species